ensembl:snRNA U6 U6 spliceosomal RNA
GUGCUGGCUUUGGCAGCACAUAUACUAAAAUUGAAACAAUACAGAGAAGAUUAGCAUGGUCCCUGCACAAGGAUGACACACAAAUUCAUGAAGCAUUUAUAUGUUUA